rnacentral:rRNA from 1 species
UACGUAGGGUGCGAGCGUUAAUCGGAAUUACUGGGCGUAAAGCGCACGUAGGCGGAUAUUUAAGUCAGGGGUGAAAUCCCAGAGCUCAACUCUGGAACUGCCUUUGAUACUGGGUAUCUUGAGUAUGGAAGAGGUAAGUGGAAUUGCGAGUGUAGAGGUGAAAUUCGUAGAUAUUCGCAGGAACACCAGUGGCGAAGGCGGCUUACUGGUCCAUUACUGACGCUGAGGUGCGAAAGCGUGGGGAGCAAACAGG